AAGUCCGUAUUGGGUUCCAGGCAUGCAGCCUGCCUAGAGCUUCAGUACGAGGCCUAGCGGGCUGUGAUCACUGGCAGAUAUGUCUGGAAUAAUGUAUGAAUCAUGGACUCUUUCUGCAAUGGAUUCAGACACAAGAAAAUAAUCCAGACGCCAACCUGUGUUGGUCUUCCGGGCAUUAUGCCUAUAACCCCAGUAACUAUAUCCAACAACAUUGGGAUGCUGUUUUCGAAAUGUAUCAACAAAACCUUUGGACAAAAAAUUAGUCUCGAAUGAUUCCCUUUCUUCAAUUGUAAAGCCUGCACUUCUACGAUUUCCAGCAGGAUCAUGUAUAUCAAUCUCUUGAUGGGCACAGUUAAGAUCACCAGUUAGUAUAACAGGCUUCGAUUUUUCCAAGUCUUUCAUGUAGUUACCAAGGCUUGGAUCCCAUUCUGUGACCCUGUAAAAUUACCAAUCUUUUUAGACCAUCACCAGAAUUUGGUACAUAAGCAGUCAGGAGGUAAAAAUCAUUGAACUCCACUGUGACGACCCUCCCUUCAGUAUCAUGGUCUGGCACACCAAGCCCGUACUUGAUAGAGAUGCACACCCUUGAAAUUAUUGCAGUCCCCGAAUAGCCAAGCUUUGAUACACUGCAUGUCCAGAAACUAUGGGUAUAGCCUUCAAGUAGACCUUCCUUAAUGACUUCUACAUCCUUCUCCUGCUCAAAAUAACGUAAUUCCUGGCAUAGUAUAUCGAAGUCCUCCCUCUGAGCUAACUGAUGAAUAGAGAAGCCCCUCGAUUUAAGUAAAGCUUUUAAUCCAUUCACAUUCCAUGACAGAAUCUUUAGAGCCUUCGUAUCCUUGCUAAGAGAUGGAGACCUCAUGACCUUAGGAUUAUAAGGAAUCCAGGCAGGUUGUGGUUUCUUGUGUACAAGUACAGUCCAAGGUUCUUCAUGGUCCACACUGGCACCUUGGACUAGAAUGGAUUAUCACAUAAUCAGCCAAGAGAGAGCUUUUUCUUCUGGACUGAUGUCUUGCUUUGCUUGACAUUAGCCCCAGAACUCUCCUCAGCGGUUCCUUUGUUCUUUGCUCUACUUCUCUUACUAGGAGUUUCAGAAAUGACCUCAGAACUAUCUAUGUUUUGUUCAACUACUACUGAAGCACCUUUUCUUUUUGAAGGUACUUCAGACACACCAAUCUUCUCAACUGAUGAAUAAUUUACACCAUUUCUUUCCUUACCCAGAGAAUCCAUCAGGGCUGAUACCAAAUCUUUCUUGUUGCCUUUUACAGGAAUUCCCAUCAUCCUUGUGAUUUCCCUGAGCUCCUUCACUGUCAUGGAUUGGAGUCGAUCGGGGUCAUUCCUAAGUUGCUCUAUCUCCAAUUUGCUUUCAGCAACAUCCUCCUAUAGACAUGUUCAUCAUCUUUCUUGAUAUCAGUAUUCUUAGAGGCAGCUCGACGCGAAUAGGUGGCUCGUGUUUCUGCCAUCAUCAAGCUUAGUCUUAUCAGUGCUAGUUUGCUGGGACUGAAAUUUGCGCUUGGAAGCCCACAGCCACACCUACAAGACGGAAGAGGGAGCCGCCGCGCAGGAGCAGCGGCAUGGGCGGGCGAGCUAGGGCGCGAGGCGCCGCGACGUGG
rnacentral:sRNA from 1 species